UACUGAAUUUGUUGAAAUACAGUAUACUAUCAUUUAAAAGUUUGGGGUGGGUAUGAUAUUUUAAUCUUUUAUGCUCAGACAGACUGAAUUAAUUUAAUCAGAAAUACAGUAAAAACAGUAAUAUUGUGAAAUAUUAUUACAAUUCAAAACACCUGUUUUCUAUUUGAAUAUAUUUUAAUGUAAUUGAUACCUGUGAUGGAAAUAAAAUCUGAUUUUUCAGAAGUAAUUACCCCAGUCUUCAGUGUCACUUGAUCCUUCAGAAAUCAUACUAAUAUGCAGAUUCAAUGUUGAAAACAGUUGUGCUGCUUAAUAUUUACAGAACAGUAUUUAUUUAAAAUAGAAAGCUUUUGUAACAUUACACAUGUAUUUACUAUCACUUUUGAUCACUUUUUUGCAAAGAGCUGUACAAAUAAUGUGGACAGUAAAGUUUAGAUUUUAUAAGAAAUGUUUAAAUCCAUAUUGCAAUUUCUGAUGUUUUGGCUGAGCCAUUGUUGAAGAAAAAAGAACACGCAACAUGCAACAUAGUCAUUUUUUACUGCAUGUACUGUAUUACGCUACUUUUAAAGCAAAAGUGCUUAUUUUAGUGUUUAGCACCUGUGAUAUACCAAGAAUGACUCUCUGAAAGCCUGACUUCCUCUCUGUACAGCAAGACACUUCCAGUCACAUUCAUGUCAUCUCAUUACUGCAGGUCACCAGCUGACUCAGACCCAGCAGGGUGGAGAAAAGAGGCUCCCAGCAGGUCAAGGGCCCUGGAGUUCCUGCCUGAGCCAUUGCCAGACUGAAGAAGGGAUAAAAUAUCCUUGUGGCAGCUGUGGAAAACCAAGUGGGUGGGGUAAGUUUGAUUCCCUUGAACUUUGGGCCAGCAAAACCAUAACAGAAUAAGAGGGCAAAUGGGGGCUAAUUAGGAAUGCUCAUGAAAGGAUUUGCUACCUCUUUUGUCUUUAGGGUUCAGAUGGCAAAACCUCACAUGUUCCCAACAAGACAUUUACACUCCAUGAUCACGGACAGAGUGUGACUGAGUCUAAUCAGAUGGGAAAAAACACGAUCUGCUCUCAACUAUAAGGCUUUUGUGCAUGUUUUCAUGUAAACAUCUAUGGUUCAGACAUCAUUGCAAUAUUUCAGAUCACCUGACACUGGAGCAGCUUGUGAUUCAGUCAACAUACCAUGUCAAAGAACAUUAGUAACAUAACUUGCCCAAACAUAACACCACUAUGUCUGUUCAAGGUCUAAAUGAAGGGAAUAAGAUGAAUCAAAAAAGUGUAUGUCUAUGUUUUUGCAAAACAGACAACCUGUGGAAAGC
ensembl:lncRNA